ACGGGUGAGUAACGCGUGGGAACCUACCCAGAACUUCGGAAUAACACAUGGAAACGUGUGCUAAUACCGGAUACGCCCUACGGGGGAAAGAUUUAUCGGUUUUGGAUGGGCCCGCGUAAGAUUAGCUAGUUGGUGAGGUAAUGGCUCACCAAGGCGACGAUCUUUAGCUGGUCUGAGAGGAUGAUCAGCCACACUGGGACUGAGACACGGCCCAGACUCCUACGGGAGGCAGCAGUGGGGAAUAUUGGACAAUGGGCGCAAGCCUGAUCCAGCCAUGCCGCGUGAGUGAUGAAGGCCUUAGGGUUGUAAAGCUCUUUCAGUAGGGAAGAUAAUGACGGUACCUACAGAAGAAGCCCCGGCUAACUUCGUGCCAGCAGCCGCGGUAAUACGAAGGGGGCUAGCGUUGUUCGGAUUUACUGGGCGUAAAGCGCACGUAGGCGGAUCGUUAAGUUAGGGGUGAAAUCCUGGAGCUCAACUCCAGAACUGCCUCUAAUACUGGCGAUCUAGAGUCCGGAAGAGGUGAGUGGAACUCCUAGUGUAGAGGUGGAAAUCGUAGA
rnacentral:rRNA from 1 species